CUACGGAGGGUGCAAGCGUUAAUCGGAAUGACUGGGCGUAAAGCGCGCGUAGGCGGAUAUUUAAGUCUCAUGUGAAAGCCCUGGGCUCAACCUGGGAACUGCAUGGGAUACUGGGUAUCUAGAAUACAGUAGAGGGUAGUGGAAUUUCAGGUGUAGCGGUGUAAUGCGUAGAGAUCUGAAGGAACAUCAGUGGCGAAGGCGACUACCUGGACUGAUAUUGACGCUGAGGUGCGAAAGCGUGGGGAGCAAACGGGAUUAGAAACCCUAGUAGUCC
rnacentral:rRNA from 1 species